rnacentral:misc_RNA from 1 species
ACAGUAACCGACUCUGAGGCAGCAGAACAGGAGGAAGAGGUGCUGGCAUCACCCACAACAUUCUUUAGUUUCACGAAUGAACACUCAGCUGAAGACCCAAAUUCAGAGACAUCCCCAAUGUCCAAGGUGUCGGGAAGAUUUUCAGGAGACUCAAAAGUGUCAAACUCAAGUUGGUUCAACAUAUCAAUAGUGGCCUCCAAGUCACCCAUGUUUGCCAUAUAGACAUCAUUAAGAGACUCAUCAGAAAUGCCAGGAAAUGUCAUUCCAAGAUAUUCCAAAUCCACGUCAAAUUCCUCAUCCAUCAUCUGCUUGU